GUACCCCAGCAUAAGCUGGUGGUUGCUGACUUCCGCUUUCGGAUUCGUGUCCAGCGGGAUAAGCGUGCCAAGGUCGCUAGAACGAAGUGGUGGAAGCUCAAGGGGGAGGUAGCUCAGGUGUUCAAGGAGAGGAUAUUUAAGGAGGGCCCUUGGGAGGAAGGAGGGGAUGCGGACAAUGUGUGGAUGAAGAUGGCGACUUGCAUUCGUAAGGUGGCCUCGGAGGAGUUUGGAGUGUCCAGGGGAAGGAGAAGCGAAGAUAAGGAUACCUGGUGGUGGAAUGAUGAUGUCCAGAAGGCGCUUAAAGAGAAGAAAGAUUGCUUCAGACGCCUAUACCUGGAUAGGAGUGCAGACAACAUAGAGAAGUACAAGAUGGCGAAGAAGGCCGCAAAGCGAGCUGUUGGUGAAGCAAGGGGUCGGGAAUAUGAGGACCUCUACCAACGGUUAGGCACGAAGGAAGGUGAAAGGGACAUCUAUAAGAUGGCUAAGAUCCGGGAGAGGAAGACGAGGGAUAUUGGCCAAGUCAAAUGCAUCAAGGACGGAGCAGGCCAACUCUUGGUGAAGGACGAAGAGAUUAAGCAUAGAUGGCGGGAGUACUUCGACAAGCUGUUCAAUGGGGAGAAUGAGAGUUCUACCAUUGAACUG
rnacentral:rRNA from 1 species